CCAGACUCCUACGGGAGGCAGCAGUGGGGAAUAUUGCACAAUGGGGGAAGCCCUGAUGCAGCGACGCCGCGUGAAGGACGAAGUAUUUCGGUACGUAAACUUCUACCAGCAGGGAAGAAAAUGACGGUACCUGACCAAGAAGCCCCGGCUAACUACGUGCCAGCAGCCGCGGUAAUACGUAGGGGGCAAGCGUUAUCCGGAUUUACUGGGUGUAAAGGGAGCGUAGACGGCCAUGCAAGUCUGAUGUGAAAACCCGGGGCUCAACCCCGGGACUGCAUUGGAAGCUGUGCGGCUGGAGUGUCGGAGAGGCAAGUGGAAUUCCUAGUGUAGCGGUGAAAUGCGUAGAUAUUAGGAGGAACACCAGUGGCGAAGGCGGCUUGCUGGACGACGACUGACGUUGAGGCUCGAAAGCGUGGGGAGCAAACAGGAUUAGAUACCCUUGUA
rnacentral:rRNA from 1 species